rnacentral:rRNA from 1 species
UACAGAGGUCUCAAGCGUUGUUCGGAUUCAUUGGGCGUAAAGGGUGCGUAGGCGGCGGGGUAAGUCUGGUGUGAAAUCUCGGAGCUUAACUCCGAAACUGCAUUCGAUACUGCCGUGCUUGAGGACUGGAGAGGAGACUGGAAUUUACGGUGUAGCGGUGAAAUGCGUAGAUAUCGUAAGGAAGACCAGUGGCGAAGGCGGGUCUCUGGACAGUUCCUGACGCUGAGGCACGAAGGUCAGGGGAGCAAACGGG